ensembl:lncRNA
UUCAUUGUGAGCUAAUUACUAAGUAUAUUAGUAGCUUAAUUUAGUUUAUAAUUUGUUAAUUUGUUUUUGAUUAUGUUCCCAGAAUGGGGGAUAAACUUGAAUUAGAGUAUUUGAAUAUUUGAGUACUGGGAUAAGAAAAAAAUUUCUAAAUCAAGAAAUAAGAUGAUACUACUUAUCUAGCAUAAGAAGCAGGCCAGAUAGGAAAAUGUCGUGGUUACAAAUACUUUGAAAAAACAUUUCCACUCUGCUGUACCUGCUGCCAUUGUGAACUUCAGAGUUUCUUAUAAUGUGAAGAUAAAGAUUUUAAAGGUUGCUGUGGUGAGACGUCAGUUCCUUUGGUACAAAUCCUGGUGAUCCCAGUCAGGAUCUUUCCUUCCUGAUGCCCCCAUGCUUUUUAGGAAAGCCGAAAACAUGCAACAGUCAUUCUCAAAAACAAAACAAACCCCAUGAUAGAAAACAACCCAGUUUUGAGGGAACCACACUUAGCUUUAUGAACUGCUUACAAACACUGCCAGAUUUCCCAAGAGGCUGACAACGUUUGCCAGGCACUGACUGAUGUUGUAUUGUAGGCCAAACACUUGACGAUAUUUAUGUUAUCUGUCAAGUGGUUCACAAUGUUUAAUAACAUCUGCUAAGUGCUGCUCUGGGAUGUUAAUGAUGUACUCAGCAAGGACCUGAGGAACUCUGCAACUUCGACCGGCUGGUUGGCCGCACUUGUGCUGUCCACCGAGACGCACCCAGCGUGUAUAUGGAACAUCUACAUUGCUGAUGCUGCUUCAGACCGUAAAGAUUAUCAUGUCUGUCAGGAGCUUCUGUCUAGGUGAUGAAAACUGUGUGCAACCCAGGCUCCCACGCCAUCAUCCAGCAGCCAAACUGAAGCCCACCUGCCUCCUCACUGAGUGUCAAGAUGUGCUUUUCACCCUCAAUUUCUUUUGUAAGUGAGAAGUAAUGCUUUUGGAUUUAAAAGAAAUACACUAAUUGAAGAACGGCAUAUUAUUCAAAUGCCUCACAACAAUUAGUAACUGCUUGUGGUUGGAGAAGUGAGAAGAGAGAUCACUGUGGUGACAACAUCUGUUGGUACUGAUCCUGUUUUUCCUCAGUCUUGUACUCGGUGUUCCCGCCGCUGUCUAAUACUCCAGUUUGUAAGAAGGGAAAAAGGUGUUGGUUGUGCCAAGGUCACAAGAUCUGUAGUUAGAUUUGUAAGUGCAGCGUCUUCCCUCUCUGUCAAGCUGCUUCUGAUGCACAGUCACAGUUUCUUGGAUCCCAGUUCAGAGGGCAUGACAAGGUCCUGUUCUGAAGCACUGAUUUCAUUUACUCCCAACAACUGCUUUAUUAAGUUUAUGAACUAUUUUUCUUAACUCCACAAAACUAGGGUUUGACUUACAGGGUGCUGGUUUUACAGUUUGAAAACUUAUGCAACGUAAAAAAUGACACUUUUACCACGACAUCCUCAUUAUCCAUGAACUGCAGUGCCUUCCAUAGUACAACUGCAAGGAUCCUUUUGAAAGUAACGAUCCCCAGCUCGUAGCUGUGAGAAAAUUAAAGCAUUUAGCCG